GCAAUCAAUUCUCAUAAUAGAUCCGUUAGAAAUCAAAACUCUCUCUCUAUAUAAACAACCUUUUGUUAUUGUUUUGAAACAUAAGAUUGAAUAUGUUUCUCUGCAAAUCUUUCCUUCUUCAGACAAAACCCACACAAACUUGUCUGUUUCUCUGCGAAUCUUUGUUUCUUCAGACAAAACCCACACAAACUUGUCUGUUUCUCUGCCAAUCUUUGUUUCUUUCAGACAAAACCACACAAACUUGACUCUUUCCAUCUUUGACAUCCCUGGAGACAGUUAAAUUGUCUUAUUUACCUCCGGAGUCCUUUGACAACAACCUCGUACGCCAUAAUAACCAGCAGCACCUUCGGAUCUCCGUCCCAACUCGAUCUCCUCCAUACCGUAAAAAUCAAGGUUGUGUAUAGUCGAGAGAUGCAGCCAGGAGGAAGGUUAUGUUCCGAUGGUGUAUACAGGCUAUCUUAUUAUGGGAACAUAGGAAUGGAGAAUGGGGUUGUGAUCACGUUACUCUUGAGGCUGCUGCUGCUGGAUUGGGGGUACCUAACACAACCAAAGUUCUUCGUAGCUGUUUUGUUUUGCUGUUAUUGUAGUUUUGUGUUCAGAUGUUUAUGGUAGCUUCAUUCAAAGGAUACAAGAUCUUUUUUUUAACGAACAGAACAAGAUCUCUGUUUAUGUAAAGGUUUGUGGUUUAUGUAAAGAACAAGAAUCCAUGUUUCCUUGACUGUGGAGAAGUUAAUUACAAAGACCUUUAACAACUA